GUGUAAUUUUAGCUUCUUAGAUUUUGUAAUUUAGAUUUUUGUAAUUUUAGCUUCUUAGAUUAUUGAAAUUUUACUGUCAUAGGAUUGUAGAAUGUCCUGGGUUAGAAAGGGCAUUAAAGCUCAUGCAGCUCUGACCCCUGCCAAUGGCAGUAUUGCCGCUCAGCAGCUCAGGCUGCCCAGGGCCCAUCUAAUGUGGCCUUGAAUGCCUCCAGGGAUGGGGCAUUAACAGCUUCUCUGGGCAGCUGUGCCAGGGUCUCAAAGUCCUCUGAAUGACCCUUCAGCCUUCCAUAGUGUGGACUGAAAAUGAGUGUGGGUUUUUUUUCUUUGUUUCUUUGUUUUUCAGGGGAAAUGAUACUGUGUUACUGAUUCAAUCUGGAUUCUAAUUUCAGAGUUUGGCUUUUGUGUUAUUGGAAGAAAUGUUAACAGUACUUAAACAGAGCUGAAUCUCAUUUUAUUUAGGAUGAUUUGUUUACUGGCUGUUGGGACAACAGUAAAAAUACAUUUUUCUUUCUACUUUUAUGUUCUAGAAGAUAGCUAAUUAUCGCUAUCUAUUAGGCAGAAGCUUAUAAUGAAAAUAUUAAAAAUUUAGCUUUCUAAAUGUACAGAGAAGUUGGAAUUAUAUCGAGUCCUGUGAGUAUUCAGAAUAUCAACAGAAAAUUUCACCACUGACAUGAGGGUUUCUGUGAAUGCAGAACGCACCUGGAGUCAGUUUUCUAGCAGUGUGUGCAGACAGUUUAAAACUCAUCAGAAAAAAGAUUUCUGACAAGGUGGUCCAGAAUUUAAACCACUGUGACCUUCUCCCAGACCGUAGAUAACAAAGGCAGAUUAGAGGUAGUACUAAUAGUAGUCAUAAAAAUCAUCCACCCAGACUGAAAUCUUCCUUAAAAUAGAAGUUACAACCUUCUUGGGAGGAUAAUUCCUGAAGAUUAACAGAGCAUUCACUGCUUGUGUGUGGGGAAAAAAAAUGGGCCUAAAAUUGGAAGGCGUCAUUUUAUAAAGCAGACAUGCCUGAGCAGACAGCGAGUUGUGGAGGAUGGAAGCAAGGCCACCCCCAGCAUCUCAGAGGAAGUAAUUAAGAGGAAUUGAGUGUGGGGGAAAAUCACCCUCUUGACAUCAACAUUACUAAGAGACCAGCAGGUCCCCAUGCUGGCUGGCUCUGGCAGGUGGAGGCUAGACAGGAGCACAACUUUGAUUGUAUUGAUUUAGUUAAUAAAAAAUUUAAAAGAAUAAGAAAAAGAUAUCUUCUGCAAGAGCAGCAAUGACUGCAGCACAGACUGGUUACUUACUUAUCAGCAUUCAAGGCAGCUGGAGCUGGAAUAAAAGACAUAGGGAGGGGUAGGUUGAAAGUCACCCCACGAAUAGAUAAGCUCUAGGUAGCAUAUGGGGAGAACUAGAAUCCAGAUGCAUACUCUUCUGGUCUACUAUGUGGUAGAAAUUUACAGAAGAAGAAAAGAUAGAUAAGUAGUAGAGACGUGCUGCUUUGUGCAGCUUGUUACACAAAUUCCAGAUCGAUCUUUCACUACGAGUUUCCUCUCACUCUCAUAACCACUUGGCCUAGCCAUGUCAGCUGCAAUUCUUGCACACAUUAACACAGAAAACCAUGCUGUUAAGCAGAUGGUUAGGGUGAAUGGGUUUGUAAUGCCAUUAGUGGACCUAUAUAAUGCUGUUAUUGGACCAACAUACAGAUAAUUGGUCAUUUAUUCAUACGCAGAAUAGUUCUUGAUGGACUAGAUAUUUUUCUGCCCAUGUGAGAAAAUAGGCUCAUUGAGAUCAAAGUGUGUGUGUGUUCUAAGUCACGUGUGAUGGUUUGGAGAGGGAAGUAUAAUUUCCUCAAGUAUUCUCUUAUUAAAAAGUACUUUUUCUUAACCAAUGAAGUACUGACAGUGCUGUACUGUUUUCAGUUUAGGUGUUACUGAUGUUAACAGGUUAAACAGGUUAAACAUGUUAACCAGGUAGGCUUGGCAGCAGAUUGGCUUUAGUAAAGAGUACUAGAGGGACCAUGUAGUUUGCUCUAGAGGCUUUCAUGGCCUGGCUUACUCAACUGGGGAGGAUCUGGAUAGUGUGUGUAGUCUACUCUAUUACAAUAUGUAACAAUUUAGUAACCUACUAACUUGCAGUAUUGAUAACAAACUGGGAAUGCUGCAGAUAUUACCUUUUUCCUUUCUAAAGAAUGGUAGUGCAGUGAUUGACAGCUUGUACACAAAUGCAGAAGUGACUUGCUAUAUUUUAAAUGUUGAGAAUAUUAAAUAAAAAAGACUGCUGUCUUUCUAUUUAUAUGAUAUCAAAUUUCAGCAUUGCAAGUACUACGGACAUGCUAUAGAAACACUGUAGCGAUAAAUGAGGUGACCAUCUCUUAAUAAUUUUAGACUCCAAAAUAGGAGUAAUCCAUUUUUUAGGAGUCUGAGUAGAAAUUAUUUCUUAUUGUCUGCAACUAUGUAAAUAAAUGAGAAAAUUUUUGGCACAUUGUAUGUUGAUGAAGAAAAAUCUGUCUUCCUUUAUAAUGCAGUAGCUUUAGGGAAUCAGCUCUACGUAUCUUCUAUGAAGAACUUGGUUCAAUGGAGGCUCAAUGUCUUUUUUUCAGUUGCUCUAGUCUAGUGUCAGUCUACUUAGUCUAAUUUUUGUUCUGGUGUUGGACUGAGUUAUAUUCAGAUUUCUUACUGAUAUAAGGAAUUUGACAGCUUCCAUUUGCCAGAUUUAUAAUCUUUGUGGAAUUCUAAUGCACCCUUGAUGAGAGAAAGACCCUGAAAUCUUACAAGCGGAUCUUUACCAACUUUAUUUUCCUGAGUGGCUUAAUAUUUCGUAGAUUUUUCUUAGGACUUUAUGAUGAUCUACAGGAUAUUUCAGAAAUUUUCCUUUUGUUGAAAGGUGCUGCUUUUUUCCAUAUAUUCAGUUGGAUCACAGCUACCACUAGUGCUUAACCCAUGAAAGUUUACCAUACGUCUGUAUGACUUUAUGGCUUGAGUUAAGUGUUUUUGUGGUUUUGUGUGUUUUUUGUUUUUUGUUUUCUUUUUCUUUCUUUUUUUUUUUUUCCCCCUGUAAGGAAUAGAAUACUUUACAUGGGUCAGAGGAAGCUUACAAAAGAUUUUAUACAAAAUUUUCUGUAUGAAUUAUCAAAGGAAGGAAAGUAUUCAUAUUCUCCUCCAAUUUUUGUACUUAAAUCUAGAUUUAUCUACAUGUAAAUAUAUAGAACAUUUUCUGUAAUUGCUUUCCUAGCACAGGAGGUGAAUUGUCAGUAGGUAAUGAUAUACUUAACACUGAAAUUAUUCUUUCUUACAUACUGUUAGAAAGCAUUUUACAAAUACAUUCCCAGUAAUCACCACUUUACAGUUAGGGAAAGGACAGAAAUAUUAAUUGAUUGGCUAAGAGUCAAGCAAGGGAAAGAAGCAGGAUCAAACAGAACCUUAGAGUGAAAUUCUAGUGUCCUUUAUUGUCAACAAGUUGCUGUUUUCACAUAGCAGGGAUUUUAUUCCAGAAAGUCUCCUACUUUCUUACCUGGUAGACAGCAUAGCCUAGCACUCAUUGCAUUUACUUGUGAGACAGUUAACCUGACACAGGGUGUUAACUCAUAGCAUAAUAACUUGACUCAAAUUUUAAUUCUACUAUAGGCGACUGUGCUCAUGACUGGGGUCACAUCAACUGUCUGCAAUUAGAUAUUUAAUCUUCAGCUAGUUUUCUGAGCUUCCUUCAUUAUCAGUGAAGAAAAGAAUUGCAAAUCCUGUAUAUACUUUAUUCCACAAGGCAAAGAUGAGUGAUUGGUUUUAAGCUGGCCUUGCUGUCAGCAGAAGCAGUCUUGGAGUCUUCCCCCUUCUUCAUGUGCUUAUCACAAUGUGUGUCAUAGACUGGAUUCUCAAUUCGAUCUUAAUUAAAGGUAACCUGGGGGAACCUGUUCCUUGAAACAACUUGACACGUGCUUGUACAAAUGUUGGCAUCAACACAAGAUAAUAUAAAUAAGGGAUGGUGAGCAAAAGCAGUGUAAAACUGCUUUAUUUUCCAAGUAGCACCAGGUUAAAGUAGCUAUUGAACUCUGACCUUAGUCACCUACUAUGUUAAGCAAGAUUAAUCUCACUUAGAGUUCACAUGCAGUCAGUGCCAUCUGAUAUUCACCUUACUGGCUGAAGUUUAGUGUGACAGCAGUACAAGGAUGAGCCUGAAGCUCAGCCUCCAUGAUUGAAUCCAGUGUUAUUAACAUUUAGAGAAAUAUUGUCAUUGGAAGUUGGAAUGCUGAGUUCUCUAUUUGUAAUAUCUUGCAAGCUAAGAGCUUGUUCAUUUCUAGACACUAAUUAUUAAAAUUUCAAAAAUUAUAAAACUUAAAAAGACUGAAAAAAUGUUCACCCUAUACAGUAAUUACAUAUUUGAUCUAGUUAAAAUUCUUUUAGAUACUUAUUUAUUUUAGUGUGACAGCAAAGGAUUAAACCUUGCCUGCAGUUUUGUUUUUUUGCGCAAAAGUCAAUUAUUGCUGGCUAAACAUCCCGGAGGUAAACAUGUGUGAGGUUGAUAAUGUGGUUAGAAUAGCAACAGCAGUUGUAAAGAGAUGCUGGUGUCCAUGGAGUUAAAACAUUCCAUAUUGGUAUCAUGCAAAAAAUUACAGACUCUUCCAGUCAGGGAGCAUCAAUCAAUUUUUGUUAACUUUCAGGAUUUAUGUUCUGAUGGAGCUAAUAUUACAUCUAAACAUUACGUGUGCUGCAUCUGUAAAUUUCAUUUCAUUUGCUUAAGGAAUCCUUCUGUAUGAAAGACGUGAAUUAGAACACUGUGUUAUUUACAUGGUACAGCUGGAUUGAUUGUAGGAAGGGUCAAAUUCUGCUGUUCUUAAUGAGGAAAAUAUUGACUAAUGGCUUACGUAAAUAUUAUGUGAAUUCAAUUAAUAUUUAAGUCUCAUAUUAAGCAUUCAGAGCAGGAGAAACUGGCUUAUAGCUCUUCCUCCUAUGAGUGUACAUUUGUGCUCACUCUUUCUAUAUUUUGUCAAUCAAAAUAAUGCAGCUUCAACAGUGCUAUGAACAUUAUUUAUCACAAUGUUCUGUGUCCCCAUCAUUAUAGACUUCAUCUCAGAACUCUUAACUCACAGAGAAAUGAACUAAAAAGCCUGUUGCGCAGGCUAGCUGCAUGCUUUAUCCACUGAUAUUUGAUGGAGGGAGGCAGAAGCUUCAGUAAAAAUGUCUUCCAGUUGAAUUCUGAGAAAAAGGCUGAUCUAACUCCAAGAAAAGGUCAAGUGAGAAAAAGAAUAGUGUUCCUUCAUUUCUAGGGAGGUGGGGCUUAGCGCACCAUGUCAACAUCAGCUAGCUUGAAGGGACACCUGACUAAAUUGUUGACCCUCCAAAUCCCAAAGCAGGGUUGCAGCUUGCAGACUCUUUCCAUGUACUGUUUAGGGGACUAAUGUUUAACUUUAGUCUAUGACUUUCCAUGAGUGGAUAUGAGUUUUGUCCCUCUAGUCUUAAUGUUAUUGGUGCCUCGCCAUGAAAAUGGUUUUAUUAUCUGGGAUGCCAAGAAUAGCAGCUUGAAAGGCACAGCCCUUGUGUCCCUACCCAUGACAGAAGCCAUGGAAGUAAUUGAUCUUUUAAGUUCCCUUCUAACCUGAAGCGUUCUGUGAUUCUGUGUGAGAUGUGGAUAAAAUAACCAAACAUUGACAUAUAAGCAAAGAAGAAAUUUGAGUGAGGUGUACUAUGCAUAUUUUGCUAAGAUGGAUAGACAGGAACAUAACCAUCAAAAUUAACAGAGAUAGAUAAUUUUAACAUUUACCAUUUUUAUCUUUGCAAUCUACAAAGUACCACUCUUCAGGAAGGAAACUGAUUGCCACAAGUUAUUAGAGGAUUCAAUCCCUCUCUCUUCUUAAGCUCUAUGUUAAGUUUAAUUUCAUGCGUUGCCAGUGGUUGCUUACCUUCUCCUUUUGUACCCUUCCAAAAAGAUUAUGAUAAUAAAAAUGAAAUUGGUGACCAAUAAAAAAGAUAUUUGGUCACAUGUUGAUCUCAGUGCAAAUGGCAAAUAGUAUGUUGUCCCUCUAAUAUGAUCAUAAUACCUACUAGUUUGCGUUGCUUAUUCAAAAAGGAAAUGUAAAAUAGCAAAUACACCUGUAUAUGUGAGGGCACAGAUCUUUUAAGUUAUUUGGAUGUUAAAUCCCUUUGACUUCAUUGAGAAGUAGGAACCAAAGUGAUUUUGAGGAUACAUGCUGUACGGUGGAAUUUCCUACUGAAUUACACUAUUUCUGUUGGCAUUAAUAUAUUUUAAAUACUUAGUGGCAUGUGAAAGCCCAGUUUAUCAGUUUUCCUCUGGGUCUGCGUUUCUUGUGUUGUGAUGAAAUAACAAAUUGAUUCAAAGUUUUUCAGCUUUUCAUAUUUCAGUUCCAUGACCAAAACACCAGGUAGGCAGGACAAUGAAUAUCAAAAUAAUCUCAACUCAUUUUGAGAAGAACAAGCAGAGAGUCUUCCUGUGAUGUGCUGAAAUCCUUGUGAGUAAAAGAAAGUUGAUUGUGUUGCACUAUGAAUGCAUUUGUAAAGGUAGAAUAAAAAAAUAUAUAUAAAAUUCCAAAAGACUAUAUUUGGAGAAUUUUAAUGCUGUAAAAUCAAGAAUACAAAUGUUGGGGAAUGCCAAAAGUAGGUUUAUGUUUGCAGUCUUCAUAUGACUGCUUCCAGUGCAUCUAACAUGAAAAUGUCUUUAAUUGCAAGAUCUUAUUUAAUUUUUAUCUCAGGCCCUUUCUAAUUUAACACUGAAUGGCUGGUACCCUCAAAAUAUGUAGUAAUCUGAUAUUUACUCUGUUUUACUUUAUUUGAGAUAGGUCCUUCAGAUUAGUCCAAUUCUGAAUGUAGGAAUGUUGAUCUUAAGGGUAGAUUUCUAUGGUACUAUUGCCUACUGUCCUGGUGCUUCUUAGCUGUUCAUUAAUUUAAUGCAAGUUAAAGUCACUGUGUUAAAACAUGCCAUUUUAACUAUUCUACAUAUUGUAGACCAAAGUAAAAGAAUAGCUAUUGUUGGACUUCCAAACAAUGCUUUAAACAAGGUAUUUUGAGUUUUUUGUUGUGUUUGGUUUUUGUUCUUGUUUUUUUUUAUUUUUUUUUUCUCCUCAGAAUUUGUAGCAAAUUUUUUUUACUGCCUGAUUAUGACUGGGUACCAGAAAUCCCAUGGACUUUGAGGAGUAAUCCUAAGCAUGUACCUUCUCUAUUAAACAGAUCCCAUAGGCCACAUGGGGACAGUAAGAUAAGGAAGACACAGUCAUGUAGGAGAAGUCUGAUUUAAGGGACCCCUGAGACUGAAUACUGACAGUGUAACACGAACUGUAGCAGACGUGAGACUAAAACUUAACUCUUCGAGUGUUGUUUUGUCUGUAAAAAAGCAUAACGCAUGUAGAAGUGUUUUAUCCAAAGGAGGCACCGCGUGUGAGAUUCUAAACCACACCAAGUGACCAACAUGCAGAUGGCAGCAACAGACUAUUGCCACGUGACUGGGGCUGACAGGUUCAUUGAGACUAGUGGAAUGAUUUGAGAGAGCGCUAACUAAUUUCAGAGAGACCUCCACAGCCUUGGUCCACUUUGGGAAGUUGGAUUUAAUAGUAUGUGAAAAUGACUGAAACCAAAAGCAGGCACAGAGUAUUCCGGGCUGCUGUCUCCUUCAGUUGAAGAUCUAGUGCCCACAGCAGGAAGAGAAAGGAAGAAGGAAGAAAUAUCAUGUCAUCAGAUGUGACAUGACCUGAUAAGUUGGAAGCGAUGCUGGGCCAGAUACUAAGGACAUGCUGGAGAUGAUUAUGUGGGGAAAAGAAGAAGCAGAGUCAAUCAUAGACCAGUAAUCACCUGCCAGUAUCUUUCUACCUGUUACUGAACAGAUAACAUCAAGAAUGGGAGCACUUCACUGGUGGCAGUCAAUGUGCUAGAAGAACUGUUGUACUGUAAUGUUCUGGCUUAUCUUGGAUGGAGCUCAAGGAAGAUGCUGGGGACCUUUCCUUUGACUUUCCUUGUUCAUCCUCUGUGUUGUAUGGUGCCAGGUAAAUUUAUGUGUGACAAAUUUGUGUGGAAGUAGCAUUUUACUUCAGCUAAUUAUGAACUGAAUGUGACACUUAUGAUCUCUUCCCUUUGCCUCUUAUUGUUCUUAAGCCUGUUAUUCAGUCAGACUUUCAUGCUGAUGUUGCUAUUUCAACACUGUCUAAGACAAUACCAAAAUCCUACAUACUGUAAUAUUAUGAGGCUGAGAAGGAGGAAAUUUAUUCUGUUGCUUACAAUUCGUUUUCCUUAAUUCAGUACCCUAUUAAAAGGAACUGAAAACAAAGAAGGUUCUUGGCUGAAAGAAGUUUCCAGCUAUGACUCUAGACUCAGUCUUGCUCAUUUGGUAGCAAGCUGCCAAACCAGCAAGUCACAAAGUCUCUUUCUUUCUCGUGUAGAUAGCUAGUUUUCUAGUGGCUGUUUGUAAAAAUCACUCUUACUUCGGGCUUUACCUGAUUCUCCACUGUGUCAUCUUAUUACCCUUCUACUUCAGUUCACCCCCAAUAUUUUCUUUCUUGAAUUGGCUUUGUGAGGUAUGGUCUAGUCUCAGAAUCUUUCACUGUACCUCUUCCACCUGUCACAUUGCCUUUUGUAGGUUUUAACUAGCUGGUCCUUAUUUUUGGAAUAUUUAAGGUCAAAACAUGCAGCAACAGUGCUGGGACCUUAUCAGGUAAGAACUGUCUUAACUGUUUAGUCAUAUCCACAAUUCAAAUAUAAAUGAAUCACCUUUGUAUUUCUGGUCAUUUCACCCUGCCCACUACUGAAAGAUGCAUACGGGCAGAUAUUUCUGUGUAGACACCAUGCAGUUUAUUCCAAGAAUUAGGAAUCUAAGCUUCUAAAGAAUCACCAAAGCCCCCAGAACAACCAUUGGAAGAAUUGGGUAGGGAGGAAGGAAGACUAGUUGCCAAACACUCCCAAACAGUGCUCAACAUCAAAGAGCCUGAAUUAACCUUGGAAUACUUGAUUGAUGAUUCAGUGAAAGGAAGCUUCCAAAUCUGCACUUAGCAUAGGUGCAGAGGGUUGGUGGGAGUAUUCUCUCACUUCCCCUUUGCCCCUUGUGCUCUAAUAAGGGGAAAAUUGAUUCCCAGUUUCUGAACAAAGGUCUGUAGCUAAGAGUGAGUGUGGUCUUCCUGUCUGAGUAACAGCUGGGGAAAAAUGAAUAGACCAUAUGUCAGAGAGCAGCCGCCAGAACAUUGGGACAAAGCUGUGGAGUACUGCCAAACCUCACAGUGAAAGGCAUGGCUUUCAGGGCAAGGGGUAGAGGGAAGCUGCUUGAAUCACACUGUCAGGGAUCCUGCACUGCUGUACUUUUUAGGGAUCACAAUAGGUAAGUCCAGAACAAAAGAAGGAAAAAUGACUUGUUUUCAGAAAGUUGGAAAAGAAAGUCACUUAGCCAGGUGGCUCUGACCAUCCUUGUUUAAACUUGCCCAUUUCUCUUCACCUGUGGGAUCUUUCUCAGGAAAAGCUAGAAAGCUGUUGUUGCUUUUCUUCUCUUGGUCCUUUUUUUCCCCUCUCCAAAAUCUGCUUCAUUUCUGUUUCUUUUGUGACCUGAUUUCAAUGGCAGAAUGGGAUAUUCUCAGGUGGACAUCAUUAACAACUGUAAUGCCUGCCACAGCUGAAAGAGGAGCUUGGUUUGUGAGGAUUUUUAUGCAAGAGGAGUUGGUCUGCAGUAGCUUGUCUGAAACUUCUUUCUUUUUUAACCUCCUACCUAUAAACUGAUUACAUGUUCCAGUCUGUUCCAGGCCUGUGGAGGAUGUCUUCAGUGUUGAACAGGUGGAACUGAGAGCUGUAGCUAAUGAACCCAGUGAGCUCUAGGAGAGGGGUUAUAGGAAGCAGCCCUCAGGCAAGGAACAAAUAAGAGACACAGCCCUGGACAAACACUGUAACCCCACAAGCUGUGGGAUGCAGCUAUUCUUUUACACUUGAAAUAUCCCUGUGAGCUGAUGUGGUCCAUCCUACACUUUGUGGUAAGCCUGCAUUGAGUGGCACAGACUCACUCUGUGCACGUGCAAGUCAAAUAGUAACAAGGUAAAUGGGGAAACAAACUAGAAUCUUGGUAAAGUUUUGAUUUAAAAAAAAAUAAAAAUAAUAAAGUAGGGUAAUUCUUUAUAGGAAGAAGAUAUGGAUGUUAUUAAAAGACGCACUUCAAAUUUCUAGUUGUGGUCACGUUCACAAUUGUUUCAAUUACAUUUCUUUAAUCAAACAGGUCUCUUCUGAAAAUUCCUACUUUUAAACAGAAUACCUGCUUAGAAGUACCUAAGGAAGUGAAACUCAAUUGCCUGCAUUGCUGUCUGUUACUUAUUUGUCUAACAAAACCAACUGAAAGCAAUUGGAAAAAAAAAACAAGAAGUAUUUUGCAGUGCUUUACACCUUGCUGGUUAUUCCUCUUAAUGAGUCAUUUCAGAUUCUAGAUAUCCAGUCCACUGUAACUUGUUAUAUAUUGGCUUAUAAUGGUUAAAAGGAAAAAAUAAAUGAGAAUAUACUUCUGGAA